rnacentral:rRNA from 1 species
GAUGAACGCUGGCGGCGUGCUUAACACAUGCAAGUCGAACGGAAAGGCCAGUGCUUGCACUGGUACUCGAGUGGCGAACGGGUGAGUAACACGUGGGUGAUCUGCCCUGCACUUCGGGAUAAGCUUGGGAAACUGGGUCUAAUACCGGAUAGGACCACUCCGUUGUUGUUGUGGUGGAAAGUUUUUUCGGUGUGGGAUGAGCUCGCGGCCUAUCAGCUUGUUGGGGGGGUAAUGGCCUACCAAGGCGUCGGCGGGUAGCCGGCCUGGGAGGGUGUACGGCCACAUUGGGGCUGAGGUCCGGCCCAGACUCCUACGGGAGGGAGGAGGGGGGAAUAAUGCACAAUGGGCGGAAGCCUGAUGCAGCGACGGCGGGGGGGGGAGGGCGGCCGUCGGGGUGUAAACUCCUUUCGCCAAAGACGGAUUUUGACGGUAUUUGGAGAAGAAGCACCGGCUAACUACGUG